rnacentral:rRNA from 1 species
CGCGAAUUCGCCCUUCGGGGCGCACCAGGCGCGAAAACUUUACAAUGCGGGAAACCGUGAUAAGGGGACACCGAGUGCCAGCAUCAUAUGCUGGCUGUCCAGGUGUGUAAAAUACACCUGUCAGCAAGGGCCGGGCAAGACCGGUGCCAGCCGCCGCGGUAACACCGGCGGCCCGAGUGGUGAUCGUGAUUAUUGGGUCUAAAGGGUCCGUAGCCGGUUUGGUCAGUCCUCCGGGAAAUCUGAUAGCUCAACUAUUAGGCUUUCGGGGGAUACUGCCAGACUUGGAACCGGGAGAGGUAAGAGGUACUACAGGGGUAGGAGUGAAAUCUUGUAAUCCCUGUGGGACCACCUGUGGCGAAGGCGUCUUACCAGAACGGGUUCGACGGUGAGGGACGAAAGCUGGGGGCACGAACCGGGUUAGAUACCCGGGUAGUCCCAGCCGUAAACGAUGCUCGCUAGGUGUCAGACAUGGCGCGACCGUGUCUGGUGCCGCAGGGAAGCCGUGAAGCGAGCCACCUGGGAAGUACGGCCGCAAGGCUGAAACUUAAAGGAAUUGGCGGGGGAGCAC